UACGUAGGGGGCUAGCGUUGUCCGGAUUUAUUGGGCGUAAAGAGCGUGUAGGCGGCCAGGUAGGUCUGCUGUGAAAACUCGAGGCUCAACCUCGAGACGUCGGCGGAAACCAUCUGGCUAGAGUCCGGAAGAGGAGAGUGGAAUUCCUGGUGUAGCGGUGAAAUGCGCAGAUAUCAGGAAGAACACCAUGGCGAAGGCAGCUCUCUGGGACGGUACUGACGCUGAGACGCGAAAAGCGUGGGGGAGCGAACAGGAUUAGAACCGUAC
rnacentral:rRNA from 1 species